rnacentral:lncRNA from 1 species
GAACCAGCCCCCUUCUACUUCACCCUUUUCCUCUUCUUCCCUAAAGUAAAGUCCUAAUUUAUCACUGUGACGCCGCCUCACCCCCGUUGCCUCCCUCUUCCACUAUGCUGGUAUGCCGAGGUUCGCCUCCUCUGCCUCGCCUCGUCUGUGACAACUGGCACUCCGUCUUACCGCAGUGGCUCGAGAUCCUCCUCCAUCUCCCCAUCUC